rnacentral:rRNA from 1 species
GACGAACGCUGGCGGCGUGCUUAACACAUGCAAGUCGAACGGAAAGGCCCUGCGUUUGUGGGUUUCUCGAUUGGCGAACGCGUGAGUAACACGUGAGUAACCUGCCCUUGACUUUGUGAUAACUUCAGGAAACUGGGGCGAAUACCGGGUAUGAGCUCCUGCUGCAUGUGGUGGGUUGGAAAGUUUCGGCGGUUGGGGAUGGACUCGCGGCUUAUCAGCUUGUUGGUGUGGUAGUGGCUUACCAAGGGUUUGACGGGUAGCCGGCAUGAGAGGGUGACCGGCCACAUGGGGACUGAGAUACGGCCCAGAAUCCUACGGGCGGCAGCAGUGGGGAAUAUUGCACAAUGGGCGGACGCCUGAUGCAGCAACGCCGCGUGCGGGAUGCCGGCCUUCGGGUUGUAAACCGCUUUCGCAUGUGACGAAGAGUGCGUGACGGUAAUGGGUAAAGAAGCACCGGCUAACUACGUG